AGUGGGAUAGCUGGGUCAAAUAGUGGUUCCAUCCAAGUUUUCUUAGGAAUCUCCAUACUGCUUUCCAUAAUGGUUGCACCAAUUUGCAUUCCCACCAGCAAU
rnacentral:pre_miRNA from 1 species